UGCUGCUGACAAUUACCUGAAAGAGAAGUUGGGGUGCUUCACUGGGCUGGAAAAAGUUUGUUCCAUGUUUUAUUCCCAUCAUAAUUUCCAGAAUUAUGUUCAAUAAUGUUACAGAAACAUCCUUCUUUUCCUCUUGAUUGCAGUAAUAAUGCCUCUAGAAUUCACCAUGACAAAGGGUGUUGGCCACUGAUGUAGAAUAUAUUAUCUUCAUGUUAAGAAAAUAUUCUCUUACUGGAACUUUGUAAAGAGUAUUAAUAAAGGAGGCCUUCGGCUUCUCUUGAGAAAAUCA